rnacentral:rRNA from 1 species
GAUGAACGCUGGCGGCGUGCAUAACACAUGCAAGUCGAACGAUGAAACUUAAAUGAUCUCUUAGGCGUGAUUCUAAGUGGUUUAUUGGCGGACGGGUGAGUACCGCUUGAGUCACCUGCCUUAGAGAAGAGUAUAUCUUUUGGAAACGAAGAAUAAUACCCUAUGAUAUAAAUCCUAAGCAUGUUGAGUUGGGCAAAGAUUUAUCGCUCGAAGAUGGACUUGCGUCUGAUUAGUUAGUUGGAGAGGUAACGGCCCACCAAGACGGCGAUCAGUAGCCGGCUUGAGAGAGUGUACGGCCACAUUGGGACUGAGACACGGCCCAGACUCCUACGGGAGGCAGCAGUGGGGAAUUUUGCACAAUGGGGGAAACCCUGAUGCAGCGACGCCGCGUGAUUUAGAAGGCCUUCGGGUUGUAAAAAUCUUUUCUAUGGGAAGAAAAUGACAGUACCAUAGGAAUAAGGACCGGCUAAUUACGUG